AUGGUCUUUCCCGAGCUUUCCUGGUUUAGCAGGUGGCUUUGGACCUGCCUUGCCCUGUGCUUUACUUCUUCCUCCUUAAGAUGCAGAGUCGUCCCCUCGCGACAUCUCAAAGGCAGGAUUUGCAUGUCUGCAAGGUCCAGAAGGGAGCUGAGAAGGACCUGGCUCGAGUCACCAGAAGAAGGACAGAGCUGUGACCUGCUGACGCAAGCAGACAGAAGCAGCUCUUCCACUGAGGAAACCCUGGACUAUCGGAGAGGCAGAGUCAACGAUCAGAGUGACGUGCAGUGUAACAUCAGCAGAAGUUAUUAGUGCCCACAUGCAAUUUAUGAGUGCAAUCAAAUAUGUGGAUGACAAGAAGUUGGGGAAAAGCUGCAGUAUCCCAGGAAACAAUCUGCAUUAUUAAGAACAUAACUCUGGUAAGAGUAUGAUUAGCAUACAAAACUGCAGACGCUUCACUUCGAGAUCCUCCUCAAUGUCUCUUCUUCAGAACAGGAAGCAUAUUUAAGCCCAUUAGAGACUGAACUCUAUUUUGAGGUUUCACAAAUAUGCUUCCAAGGAAGUGGGCAGAAACAUAUUGAUAGAGGAGCAUGCAAAGCUGAAAGUGAUAUUCGUGCAGUAAUUCUUCUGCAGUCAUUGGGGUGGGUUUGGUGGGCUUCGAUAGCAUCAGACUGGGGCUCUUCUGGCUCAUUUAUUACACACUAGUUCUGUAUGUUCAUCCAUAGUUUCAAAUGGCCUAGAAACAGCUAUCUCCAAAGCUAGUCUGUCAUUACUGUUGGUAUACAAGCCACAUUUGUCAGAAGCUUUCUUAAAAGUUGCAUAGUUGGUGAAGUCUCUUGAACCUUAGGAGAAUUCAAGUGUAGACUACAUUUGUUUUAAGGUUUGGAUCCCUGUUGCAUGGUAACGCCUAAUGAAAUUGGGGCUGGGGAAAGAAAUACGACCAUGGAAUUUUGUCUGUUCAGAUUUACCAUUCAAACUUCUCUUACAAAGGAAAGAAUCUUCUCAUACAUCGUUGCAGCUCAGCAAAGCACCUAAAUAGAUAAUUUGCAUUUGCUAAGAGCGGUCCUUCAAGUACAGCAAAAAAUGCACAGAAGGACCUGGGAAUAUGUUAGCAAGUAACCUCUGCUGUUAAAACCCAACUUUUCUAUGUACUUAGUAGUAGACAGACCCUGAAGUAGAGAGUUCAUGGCCUAAAGACUCUUUAAAUUGUUUCCUUAUAAGAAGUCCUUAUGCUCCUCCUGAUAUCCUCUAGCCAGACAUAUUAGCAGAAAUGUUAAAUAAUCAAACCUCUGCUUUUGCAGAAAAUUUCCCUUCUAGUGCCUUUACAAAGCAUCAGGAAAAUGCUGAUUGUUGACUCAUUGUUAUUGAAGUAGAAAAUGUAAAUGCAAUUAUUAAGAAAUGCUCUCAAGGAUUUAUUGUGACAGAAAGUGUUUUUGUGUUCUAAGUGUAUUUUCAGCUGUGGUUUAAAACACAGGACAACCUUUCUAAGAGAUCUGGGGAAAUAACACACUUUAAUAGUAACUCCAAAAAGCAAGCCUUGCUUUUGAUAAGAGCUAAGGAAAUGAUGA
ensembl:lncRNA